rnacentral:tRNA from 1 species
UGUUUAUAUAGUUUAACCAAAACACUAGACUGUGAACCUAGAAAUAGAACAUAUUCUUAUAGACC